rnacentral:rRNA from 1 species
CGAGGCAUGUGCACACUCGGCUCAUCCACUCUCAACCUCUGUGCACCCUUUGUAAGAAAUUGUGUCGAAACUGGCUUUUGUUAGCUGGUGGAAAGCUUUUUCUUAUGUUUAUUACAAACGCUUCAGUUUUAGAAUGUUUACUGUGUAUAACACAAUAUAUACAACUUUCAGCAACGGAUCUCUUGGCUCUCGCAUCGAUGAAGAACGCAGCGAAAUGCGAUAAGUAAUGUGAAUUGCAGAAUUCAGUGAAUCAUCGAAUCUUUGAACGCACCUUGCGCUCCUUGGUAUUCCGAGGAGCAUGCCUGUUUGAGUGUCAUGGAAUUCUCAACCUUCAAUCUCAUUAUUGUAGGCUUGGAUGUGGGGGUUGUGUCGGAUCCCAGUUAUUCGACUCCUCUUAAAUGCAUUAGCGUGAAUCUUACGAAUCAUCUUCAGUGUGAUAAUUAUCUGCGCUGUGGUGUUGAAGUAUUUAUUGAUCAUGCUUACAAUCGUCCUUUACCGGACAACUAUUGACAAUCUGACCUCAAAUCAGGUAGGACUACCCGCUGAACUUAAGCAUAUCAAUAAGCGGAGGAAAAGAAACUAACAAGGAUUCCCCUAGUAACUGCGAGUGAAGCGGGAAAAGCUCAAAUUUAAAAUCUGGCGGCUUUGGUCGUCCGAGUUGUAUUCUAGAGAAGUGUUUUCCGCGUUGGACCGUGUACAAGUCUCUUGGAACAGAGCGUCAUAGAGGGUGAGAAUCCCGUCUUUGACACGGACUACCAAUGCUUUGUGAUGCGCUCUCAAAGAGUCGAGUUGUUUGGGAAUGCAGCUCAAAAUGGGUGGUAAAUUCCAUCUAAAGCUAAAUAUUGGCGAGAGACCGAUAGCGAACAAGUACCGUGAGGGAAAGAUGAAAAGCACUUUGGAAAGAGAGUUAAACAGUACGUGAAAUUGCUGAAAGGGAAACGCUUGAAGUCAGUCGCGUUGUCUAGAACUCAGCCAGGUUUACUUGGUGCAUUUUCUAGUUAACGGGCCAGCAUCAGUUUUGACUGCAGGAAAAAGGCUAGAGAAAUGUGGCAUCUUCGGAUGUGUUAUAGUCUCUGGUUGCAUACUGUGGUUGGGAUUGAGGCUCUCAGCACGCUUUUGUUGUGCUUAGGAUGCUGGCGUAAUGGCUUUAAACGACCCGUCUUGAAACACGGACCAAGGAGUCUAACAAAUCUGCGAGUAUUUGGGUGGUAAACCCGAGUGCGCAAUGAAAGUGAAAGUUGGGAUCUCUGUCGUGGAGAGCACCGACGCCCGGACCAGACCUUUUGUGACGGAUCUGCGGUAGAGCAUAUUUGUUGGGACCCGAAAGAUGGUGAACUAUGCCUGAAUAGGGUGAAGCCAGAGGAAACUCUGGUGGAGGCUCGUAGCGAUUCUGACGUGCAAAUCGAUCGUCAAAUUUGGGUAUAGGGGC